GACGAACGCUGGCGGCGUGCCUAAUACAUGCAAGUAGAACGCUGAAGAGAGGAGCUUGCUCUUCUUGGAUGAGUUGCGAACGGGUGAGUAACGCGUAGGUAACCUGCCUUGUAGCGGGGGAUAACUAUUGGAAACGAUAGCUAAUACCACAUAACAAUGGAUGACACAUGUCAUUUAUUUGAAAGGGGCAAUUGCUCCACUACAAGAUGGACAUGCGUUGUAUUAGCUAGUAGGUGAGGUAACGGCUCACCUAGGCGACGAUACAUAGCCGACCUGAGAGGGUGAUCGGCCACACUGGGACUGAGACACGGCCCAGACUCCUACGGGAGGCAGCAGUAGGGAAUCUUCGGCAAUGGGGGCAACCCUGACCGAGCAACGCCGCGUGAGUGAAGAAGGUUUUCGGAUCGUAAAGCUCUGUUGUAAGUCAAGAACGAGUGUGAGAGUGGAAAGUUCACACUGUGACGGUAGCUUACCAGAAAGGGACGGCUAACUACGUGCCAGCCGCCGCGGUAA
rnacentral:rRNA from 1 species